rnacentral:rRNA from 1 species
CCUACGGGAGGCUGCAGUGAGGAAUAUUGGUCAAUGGCCGGGAGGCUGAACCAGCCAAGUCGCGUGAGGGAAGACGGCCCUACGGGUUGUAAACCUCUUUUGUCAGGGAGCAAGGUGCAGGUCGGGACCUGCUGUGAGAGUACCUGAAGAAAAAGCAUCGGCUAACUCCGUGCCAGCAGCCGCGGUAAUACGGAGGAUGCGAGCGUUAUCCGGAUUUAUUGGGUUUAAAGGGUGCGCAGGCGGAGGGCCAAGUCAGCGGUAAAAUCGCGUGGCUCAACCCCGCCCCGCCGUUGAAACUGUGUGCCUUGAGUGCGCGAAGGGUAGGCGGAAUGCGUGGUGUAGCGGUGAAAUGCAUAGAUAUCACGCAGAACUCCGAUCGCGAAGGCAGCCUACCGGCGCGCAACUGACGCUCAUGCACGAAAGCGUGGGUAUCGAACAGGAUUAGAUACCCCUGUAGUC